rnacentral:lncRNA from 1 species
UAUAAUCAGAAAGUUAUAAAGUUCUAGUGAAUAAACAAUGCUUCUCUCAAUGUUUCACCAGUCUCGUUGCUAUCAUAAUGGAAGUAAUGGAUAACAACCAAAGGAGCCCUAAUGAAAGAACUUUUUAAGAAAUGUGUUUGUGUUGGAAGAGAAAAGAAGAAUUAAGUUAAUCAUCACAAUAUCAAGGAAGUUUUCCUCAAGUCUAACACUUCUAGUUACAGAUCUUCAUGUGACAUGAUUUUUAGUCCCACCAUCAUCCUGGUUAUCCUCCACUGAACAUGCUCCACUGUGUCAAUAUCCUACUAAAAACAAGAUGCUUAUCAUUGGAGUCACUCUGAUAGUCCUUGGAGGGUGAUAAAUAUGUCUGGUAAAGGUGUUUUCCUCAUAGUUAUUCAUACUUAUCAAUAAAUUGGCAAAUAAACAUAUAU